ACAUAUAACAUCCGUAUAAAUCACGUAUUCGAAUAAUUGUCGAAUCCGUUUUUUAACCGUAUUUUUCAAUGAAUUUAAAAAUUAGAAGACGAAUUUUAUCCGAAUUAUAUCCGUACCGAAUUUUUGCCGAAUCCGAAUUAACUAACUAUGGCAAGGACUAAAAUUUUGGCAGUGUAACUAAACUCUCUGUUGACGAUAUUUUUGUGUUAUUUUAAUUACAAAAGCACUCGUCAAGUUUCGGACGAAAACGAGUUAGAAUAGAGAUUUUACGCGAUCUUUAGUUUUCACUUAAGUGAUAGUAAUCUGGUUUUCGGGAGAGGCCACGGUGUAAAGUUGGCUUCCGGCGCGCAUUGGACUCCGUUCAUAGCGAUCCAAUAGCUCGUUUUCAAUGGUUUGACUAUUCUGAAACCAUUGGCGCUGACGGAUUUUAGGUUAGAUGCACGAUUUUCGAGAAAAAGCGAGUUUAUUGGUUUUACACAUAUAUUUAGGUGCGGUUUUGGAAAGUUGGAGAGAGGAUGGGUUUUGUCACGAAUCCGUGACCAAACAAGGUGAAACAAAAUCGUGAGUUUGUUGUCUCUGUCGUACUGAUCGCAUUGGUGUGAUCCGUUCGCAAAUCUGACGGACGGAUUUUCUGAUAUCGCGCGUUGAUCGAUGAAGGGUCUUAGAUGGCAAAAUGGUAAUUUUGCGAAAAGCGUGACAUUUUAUGUACUGUUUUACGUGAAAUCGCAUGUGGGGGUGUAUUCGUGCGUUUU
rnacentral:lncRNA from 1 species